rnacentral:lncRNA from 1 species
UUUACUUUUCAGAAUAUUAAAAUAAUAAUACUAAUAAUAAUAAAUUUUGUACAGGAAAUCAAUAUACAUUGAACUUGUGUAGAUUAUUAGACUAAUAAAAUUUAUAACCCAAGGUCUUCUCUACACAUGAUGUCUAUUAGUCACGCAUUCUCCAGAUACGCUUGCUUUGGUUUACACGAUAUUCUUGUAAUUUGAUACAUUGGAGAGGUUAGAUAGAGCCAGUUUCAAGACACUUUACACAAAGGGAUCUGCAACGUGGAUGUUUUAGCUGUGUUGAAGAGGCGUGCAUAAUUGACUACAUUUCAUCUUAUGGACUUAUUUAUGUUGUCACAAGUGGAAAUAAAGAUUAGAAAAUACA